rnacentral:lncRNA from 1 species
GCAAGAUCAUAACCUAAAAAACCAUACUUAUCUAAUAUUUUAGUUUUUCAGGCAAUCUAAGUAUAAAUGCUCAAAAUGAAUUGGUGAUCUUUGCUUUCUCUGCACUUUGCUGUGGCACCUUGUGCAUCAUCAUGUCCUUGCAACCUAAGGGUGUCUCCCUCUCCUCAUCUGCCUGAGAAAUGGACUCAAGUAUGCAGUGACUGGAGAGGAGGUAAAGAAAUGUAUGCAGUGCUUGAUCAGAAUCAGCAACCAGGUUCAAACUGAUGUUGCAUACCUUGCUGCAUUCGUGGAUACAUGUGAGAUGGAGCAAACAUUGGCUAGCAUCAAGAAGACAGGAACUAAGAAACGGAGCAAAAGGGAGAGAGAAGCACAGGGAUCUCCUAUCAACUGGCUUUCUCCAGCUACCGCAAUACCUGGACGCCACUAGCCUAAGGCCUAGCACUUAGAACUCAAGCCAGAUAAGAUCCUGGAGACAUCUACAUGUACCUGAGACAAACAAAAAUGAAUUUAUUGCCAGUAAGUUAUUUAUUCCUCAGCUUCUUUCACAUUGUAGUUUAUUUUAUUUUAUUUUAUUUUAUUUUUUUGACAGGGAGAGUUAGACAGUGAGAGACAGAGAGAAAAGUUUUCCUUCCGUUGCUUCACCCCUGAAAUGGCCGCUACAGCUGGUGCCCCAGCUCCAGUUCUUUGUGACCAUUUUGAGAGUGAACCAGUGGGUGGAAGACUUCUCUGUUUCUCCCUCUCUGUAACUCUACUAAGAAGGAGAAGAAGAAGAAAAACAUGCAGAACACAAACUGGUGCCCGUAUGUGAUGGUGGCACCAUAAGUGGACAUAUAGCAUACUAUGCCACAACACUGGCACUGAGAGAGAGACCGUGACUUUCAGUCAACUGAUUUACACUCCAAACACCCACAGCAGGCAGGGCUGAGACAGGGUCAUAGGUGAGAACCAGGAAUGUAGUCCUGGCCUCUCACUUGAGUUGAGAAGCCUACAUUCUAGAGUUGUCAACACUGACUUCUAGUGUCUAGAUUUGCAAAAUCUAAAAUUAGGAGCCAGCCCUGAAAGCACAGCUGGAAAUGCUGCUGUGGGACCAGGGCAUUAGGCUAAAUGACUCUUUUCCCUUGCCAUGGUAGAAACUGCUACACGCCUUCUCCUGGAAGUUAACCUGUUUGUAUCAUGACAUCACUGAAAGUUUCUUCUCUUUUUACUGGUGUCCUAUUGAUUGCAUUCUGCAAUUCACCUUGACAGGUUGACCCUAUAUCAUCUGACACAUCUGUAUCUCCAGCUUGGGCUUCUUGCAUAGCAUGUAGACCACUAUAUUUACUCCCUGUUGAGUGUUUCCUUAUAGCCAUCCAAAUGGCACCUCAAGCUGCUCAAAUCUAAAAUGAAAACCUGGGGCUGACAUUGUGACAUUGUGGUAUAGUGGGUUAAACAGCUGCCUAGGAUGCCAGCAUCCCUUAA